rnacentral:lncRNA from 1 species
UGCGCCGACAGGAGCUGCUCGUACAAGGGGUGGGUGAGGAUGUCGGCCUUGCACUUCUCCCUCUCCCAGUUGGUGUUGGUGUUGGUGUUGGUGCCGCUGCCGUUGCUCUUAUCCCCGCUGUCCUGGAGGUGAUCGCUGUUGGCGGUGGGGGUGGGGGGGCUGGGUUGACUCUGGGUGGGGAGCCACUGGUGGUGGAGGGAGGAGGUGUUGAGCCAGGUGGAGGUGGGGGGUUUGUCGUCGGGGUGAUCGGGGAGGAUGGAGCGGAAGACGGAGGGGUGGUGGUGGUGGUGGUCGGAGUAGUGGGGGUGGUGGAGGGGCAUUUCUUGGGAGAGGUGGUGGUGGUCCUGCUGAAAGGCCAUGCCUGCGACAAUGAUGAGCCUGUUUUUCACUUUCAGAGAGAGAAAGAGAAAAGAGAGAGAGAGAGAGAGAGAGAUGGGUUGGGUUUGGGUUUGGGGCUCCAAGUGUGGAAAGGAGGAUGGACGAUGAAGUUGAGGGAGCUUUUUUUUUUCCUUUGCUUAAAACAAAAAUCUUGACAAAGCUUUUACAGUAUUUCUUUGCUUCCAUAGGGGCAGAAUGGUCAGUUGCCCAUACUAUGUCUAUGUCUUCUUUUUCAUUUUUUUUAAGUAAUUCAAGAUUCAACUCACAUCACUAAUUUAUAAAUAUGACGUCUACGGCUAAUUAUAAAGUUUGUGAUGUUACAAACUUUAAUAAAAUUAAUUGGAUGUAUUACGAUUGAAGAAAGGAUAUAUAAAUAAAAAUAAAAACACAUGGUUUAUGGUUAUAUAAAUAGUUUGUAAGGUGGUUUUAGUAAUAUACACAAAGUUAAUACUCCCCUUUUAAUUAGCUUCUUCUUUUUCUUUUUUUUCCAAAUUAGUUAGUUUGUCCUAUUUGUUUCCUAGAGUUGUAAUCUUGUACAAGACCAAUUCCUUUCUCUUUCUGUCGAUGUUCUACUUUCUUCGACUUCUUUAUUUGCUCUCCUUUUAAGAAUUAUGUGGUCGCCGCAUUCAACGAUGUAGUAUAUGUAUAGUCAUCAUAAGUAAUUUCGAGCAACACAAUUCAUAUUCACAUCAUCAUAUAAUAAUUCUUGUCUUUCAUAUGAUUGUGUUAUAAGAGAUGUCAUAUUAGGCUUCAUUGUAUAAUCAUAUAUAUUUUAUUAUUUUUUUAAUUAUGUUAAAAUUAAAUUAAACUAAUAGAAAAUUAGAAAUUUUCAAAAACCAAAAUAUUAGUGUCUGUUUGUAGGGAAUACUGUAUUUAUAAAUAUAUAGAGUUACUGCAUUCAUCAUGGAAUUAACUGCACUAAAAAAAUAAAAAUUGCUCUCUUGCCUCUUGGUGCAUUCAACCAUCAAGGUGAUGCAUGACUGUAAAUCUUAACGAUCCAAAUACUAAAAAAUGGUUCUCACGUUGACAUUUUAAAAAAUAAUUUUCAUUGAGACCUCUAAGUACAAAACACAUUUAGAGGUUCUUAUACUUUUGUUUUUGUUUCAUUGAAUUCUUGUACAAAUUAUUUCGUUUAAAUAUAUUCUUGUACCUUUGUCUUUAGUUUCAUUGAGUCCUUAUUUAACAUAUGUAAUAAGUCACUUAACUUUUUCGUUAUCUAAAUAAUACUCCCUCCGUCCCAAUAAUGAAGUCUCCUUUGUUUUGGGCACGGGUAUUUAGGAGAGGUAAAGUUGAUGUUAAAUUAGUAGGGACCACAUAAUUAGUGCUUUAAUUAAUGUUAUUUUAUUUCAUAAUUAACUGCGCCUCUCUCUCUCUUCAGCCCCAAAACUUCCUCCUCCAGAAUCAGCCGCCGCCGCUGCCGCUGCUGAGGGGCCGGCGAGUCGCCGCCCUUAUUCCUUCUUCGGUCGGCGUCAAUUCCCCCUUCCUCUUCACUGUCAUUCUCUCCAUUUCUCUUCCUCACACUCAAUUUCUCAAAAUCGAGCCCAAAAUCAAGCAGCAUAAACCAAAUGCUUUUAUGAACAUGCAAUGCUACUAAAAAACUGAAGAAAAGGAACACCUUUUGGAAAAACCAAGAAAACCCAGAUCCAGUGAAGCAUUACCAUCAAAAUGUGGCCGAAAAUUAUGAACGGAAAACGAAAAGAGGAACGGUGGUGGUGAGGCGUUGGAAAAUUCGAGCAGAUCUGCCGCGGUGGAGGCGGAGGAGAUCAGAGGUGAAGGCGGUGGAUGCAGAGGGUUGAGGCGGUGGAGAGAUAGGAGGCGGCGUGAGGAAGAAGGCGGAGGGAAGACCGGUGAAGGCGCUCGGUUUGGUGGUGGCGGCGGGAGGAAGAGGGCGAAGGAAGACCGGUGAAGGUGCGAGGUUGUUGGUGGCGGCCGCGUGAGGAAGAGGGCGGCGGGAGGAACGGUGGAGGCGCGAGGUUGAUGGUGGCGGCGGCGGGAGGAAGAGGGCGAAGGGAAGACCAGGCGAGAGGUUGGUGGUGGCAGCGGCGUGAGGAAGAGGGCGGAGGGAAGACCGGUGAAGGCGCUCGGUUGGUGGCGGCGGCGGGAGGAAGCGGGAGGAGGGAAGACCGGUGAAGGCGUGAGGUUGGUGGUGGCGACGGCGGGAGGAAGAUGAGAGAGAGAGAGAGAGCAAGGGUGGGGAUGAAAUUGGGGGUAGGUGGAGACCUUUAAUUAAUUUACUAAGCCUUGUUUAAUUAUUGCCAAAAAAGGAAAGGAGACUUGAAUAUUGGGACGGCCCAAAAAGGAAUAGGAGACUUGAAUAUUGGGACGGAGGGAGUAUUAAUUUUAUGUAAAUAUAAAACUAAAAAAUAUUUUUAUGUGCAUGCUGAAGAUGCAAAUGCUAGUUUAACAAUAAACAACAACCUUCGCUAUCAACUCUCUUUGACUUCAUACAACGAACAAUAUAAUUAAAACGUGAAGAAUGAAGAUACCAACAAAAGAAUAUUUUCGUUGCGUUAGAAUUUGAACUACUAUCAUCAAUAAUAAUAGGUUCCAUGUAUUUCAGCAUCAUCAGCAAGACUAUCUCAUGAUCUCAAUAAUAUCAGAUGACGAAGCACAUUCAUGUACCUGACAAAUAUAAAUAGCAAAAAUUAUAAUUUUGUUAACAACUGUAUUUAGAUUUAACAAAUUUACCAAAGCAUACUAAGUCAAUCAUAAAUUUAAGAAAUCACAUACUCAUGCAGCAAAAUAUGUAUAUAAUAAUACUGCUAGUGAGAAAUAUCACAAUUAAUUUGAGUAAACUAAUAUUUUAUAUAAUUUAAAUAUAAAUUUAAAAUAUCACAAAUAAAUAUAAUAGUUUAUAAUGGAUAAAAAAAUUAAACAAUAGUUAUAGUUAUAUACUUUAAUGUACAAAUAAUGUUAAAAUUAAUUAAAAUAUCACAAAAUCAUAUGAUACGCGCGCACGUGACAUACACACAUAUGUAAUGUUAAUAUCUCUAAACAAUCAUAUUAUUUAAUAAAAGAUUAAUGUUAGCCACAUAAAUAAAAUUAUAUUAAAUAUAAUAAAAUUUUGCGUAAAUAUACUUUACUUUUAAUGAAAAUAUAAAUAAAUAAAUUUAAAAAAGUAUAAUUGAAAAAAAUUUAAAUAAAAAACCUAACAACAAACAAAUUAACUCAAACCGACACCACCGCCCUACCCCACCACUCCACCCAAAAACAACCACACAAAUUUGUCUUCCCCACGUUUCCCCAUCCCCCAGCCGUGCCCACAAAUUUACUUCACUUCCCCUCCCACUUAAGAGGGUGUUUGGCUAAGCUUAUUUUAAAGAGCUUAUAAGCUCUUGGAGCUUAUAAGAUGUUUCAAGAGCUUAUAAGAUGUAAUUUUUAAGAGCUUAUAAGUUGUCAAAGUGUUUGGAUAAUAUAGGGUGUGCUCUUUUUGAUGAAAAAGGGUGGAAAGUAUAGAGUUUGUCUCUUAUGAGAUUAAGAGGGUGUUUGGCUAAGCUUAUUUUAAAGAGCUUAUAAGCUCUUGGAGCUUAUAAAAUGUUUCAAGAGCUUAUAAGAUGUAAUUUUUAAGAGCUUAUAAGGCUGUGUUUACUUUGAUGGAUAAAUUUAUCCAUGGAAAAUGAUGGAUAACACAAAUUUAUGCCUUUAAAUGUCUCCUCCUUUUUCAACAUUUGACACAAAAAGAGAUGCUCAUCAUUUUCCCUUUCUUAUUUUCACUCCAAGGAUGGAUAAUAUUAUCCUUCCAUUUUGAUGUGAUAAUAUUAUCCAUUCUUGAAGUGAAAAUAAGGAAGGAAAAAUGGUGAGCAUCUCUUUUUGUGUCAAAUGUUAAAAAUAGAAGGAGACAUUUAAAGGCAUAAAUUUGUGUUAUCCAUCAUUUUCUAUGGAUAAANAGCCAGGUGGAGGUGGGGGGUUUGUCGUCGGGGUGAUCGGGGAGGAUGGAGCGGAAGACGGAGGGGUGGUGGUGGUGGUGGUCGGAGUAGUGGGGGUGGUGGAGGGGCAUUUCUUGGGAGAGGUGGUGGUGGUCCUGCUGAAAGGCCAUGCCUGCGACAAUAGAUGAGCCUGUUUCUACUUCAGAGAGAGAAGAGAAAGAGAGAGAGAGAGAGAGAGAGAUGGGUUGGGUUUGGGUUUGGGGCUCCAAGUGUGGAAAGGAGGAUGGACGAUGAAGUUGAGGGAGCUUUUUUUUUCCUUUGCUUAAAACAAAAAUCUUGACAAAGCUUUUACAGUAUUUCUUUGCUUCCAUAGGGGCAGAAUGGUCAGUUGCCCAUACUAUGUCUAUGUCUUCUUUUUCAUUUUUUUUAAGUAAUUCAAGAUUCAACUCACAUCACUAAUUUAUAAAUAUGACGUCUACGGCUAAUUAUAAAGUUUG